rnacentral:rRNA from 1 species
UACGUAGGGGGCGAGCGUUGUCCGGAUUUAUUGGGCGUAAAGAGCGUGUAGGCGGUUCGGUAAGUCUGUCGUGAAAUCCUGAGGCUCAACCUUGGACGUGCGAUGGAUACUGCCGGGCUAGAGGAUGGUAGAGGCGAGUGGAAUUCCCGGUGUAGCGGUGAAAUGCGCGGAUAUCGGGAGGAACACCAGUAGCGAAGGCGGCUCGCUGGGCCAUUCCUGACGCUGAGACGCGAAAGCUAGGGGAGCGAACAGG